ACCUGGGUGGCUCAGCCGGUUGAGCAUCUGACUUCGGCUCAGGUCAUGAUCUCAGGGUUUGUGGGUUUGAGCCCUGCAUCAGGCU
rnacentral:tRNA from 1 species